ensembl:misc_RNA Y_RNA Y RNA
GGCUGGUCCCAGUGCAGUGGUGUUUACAACUAAUUGAUCACAACCAGUUACAGAUUUCUUUGUUCCUUCUCCACUCCCACUGUUUCACUUGACUAGCCUUAA